AUUGAACGCUGGCGGCAUGCCUUACACAUGCAAGUCGAACGGCAGCACGGGGCAACCUGGUGGCGAGUGGCGAACGGGUGAGUAAUGCAUCGGAACGUACCUUUCAGUGGGGGAUAACGUAGCGAAAGCUACGCUAAUACCGCAUAUUCUGUGAGCAGGAAAGCCGGGGAUCGCAAGACUUUGCGCUGAUUGAGCGGCCGAUGUCAGAUUAGCUAGUUGGUGAGGUAAAGGCUCACCAAGGCGACGAUCUGGAGCGGGUCUGAGAGGAUGAUCCGACACACUGGAACUGAGACACGGUCAAGACUCCUACGGGAGGCAGCAGUGGGGAAUUUUGGACAAUGGGGGCAACCCUGAUCCAGCCAUGCCGCGUGAGUGAAGAAGGCCUUCGGGUUGUAAAGCUCUUUCGGCCGGGAAGAAAUCGCACGGGCUAAUACCCUGUGUGGAUGACGGUACCGGAAUAAGAAGCACCGGCUAACUACGUGCCAGCAGCCGCUGUAAAAC
rnacentral:rRNA from 1 species